AAGGAUGUGGAAUUGCACAGACAACCAGGAUGUUGGCUUAGAAGCAGCCACUCAUUAAAAGAGUGCGUAAUAGCUCACUGGUCGAGUGACUCUGCGCCGAAAAUUUAACGGGGCUAAACUAUACACCGAAGCUUGGGAUACAUCUAAUGUAUGGUAGGAGAGCGUUCUGUAUGGGGAGAAGUCGUAGCGAAAGCGGCGGUGGACUAUACAGAAGUGAGAAUGCCGGAAUAAGUAGCGAGAAUUAAGUGAGAAUCUUAAUGGCCGAAAGUCUAAGGUUUUUGGAGGAAGGUUCGUCCGCUCCAAGUAAGUCGGGAGCUAAGGUCAGGCCGAAAGGCGUAGCCGAUGCACAUACGGUUGAUAUUCCGUAACCAUCUGUAAUUUAAGCAAAGGGACACUUCAAAAGGGUGUGACCCGGGCGUUGGUUGACCCGGGCGUAAGGGACCGAAAUUAGAGUAGGGAAGCACACUUAGCUGAAGGCGAGAAAAGCUUUGCGUAUAGAAACAGAUGCCCGUACCGCAAACCGACACAGGUGGACAGGAAGAGAAUUCUAAGGCCAGCGGGAGAAGGGUAGUUAAGGAACUCGGCAAAUUGACUCCGUAACUUCGGAAUAAGGAGUGCUCGAAAGAGCCGCAGAGAAUAGGCCCAGGCGACUGUUUAGCAAAAACACAGGUCUCUGCCAAAUCGAAAGAUGAAGUAUAGGGGCUGACACCUGCCCGGUGCCGGAAGGUUAAGAGGAGGAGUGAGAGCUCCGAAUUGAAGCCCCGGUAAACGGCGGCCGUAACUAUAACGGUCCUAAGGUAGCGAAAUUCCUUGUCGGGUAAGUUCCGACCCGCACGAAUGGUGUAACGAUCUGGGCACUGUCUCAACUACCCACCCGGCGAAAUUGUAGUACCGGUGAAGAUGCCGGUUACCUGCGGCAAGACGGAAAGACCCCAUGGAGCUUUACUGUAGCCUGAUAUUGGGUUUCGGAAAUCUAUGUACAGGAUAGGCGGGAGACUGGGAAACAUGAGCGUCAGCUUGUGUGGAGUCGAUGUUGGGAUACCGCCCUUAGGUUUCUGGAAUUCUAACCUGCGGCCGUGAAUCCGGUCGGGGGACAUUGUCAGGUGGGCAGUUUGACUGGGGCGGUCGCCUCCGAAAAGGUAACGGAGGCGCUCAAAGGUUAGCUCAGCACGGACGGAAACCGUGCCUCUGAGUGUAAACGCAAAAGCUAGCCUAACUGCGAGGGUGACGGCCCGAGCAGUAACGAAAGUUGGAGUUAGUGAUCCGGCGGUAUGUGAAUGGAAAUGCCGUCGCUCAACGGAUAAAAGCUACCCUGGGGAUAACAGGCUGAUCUCCCCCAAGAGUCCACAUCGACGGGGAGGUUUGGC
rnacentral:rRNA from 1 species